UAUUAAAAAAAUGAUUCAUUUCUAUUGUAAAAAAAAACUAACAUGGCUGACAGAGUACACAAACAAUGAUACGUGGCAUGCUACGUGUACCUCAUGCUAACGUACAAAGACCAGUUUUUAAUAGCAGAAAUAGAUAGAAUUUUUAAUA
rfam:Gossypium raimondii Chr03_contig_913, whole genome shotgun sequence.